GCAAGUAAAAGUCGUAACAAGGUCUCCGUUGGUGAACCAGCGGAGGGAUCAUUACCGAGUUAUCAACUCCCAAACCCCUGUGAACAUACCCAACGUUGCUUCGGCGGGACCGCCCCGGCGCCCUCGGCGUCCCGGAACCAGGCGCCCGCCGGAGGACCCAAACUCUUGUUUAAACCAUAGUGGCAUAUUCUGAGUCUCACAAGAAAAAUGAAUCAAAACUUUCAACAACGGAUCUCUUGGCUCUG
rnacentral:misc_RNA from 1 species